AAGACCUUGCACUUUUGGAGCGGCCGAUGUCAGAUUAGGUAGUUGGUGGGGUAAAGGCUCACCAAGCCAACGAUCUGUAGCUGGUCUGAGAGGACGACCAGCCACACUGGAACUGAGACACGGUCCAGACUCCUACGGGAGGCAGCAGUGGGGAAUUUUGGACAAUGGGCGCAAGCCUGAUCCAGCAAUGCCGCGUGCAGGAAGAAGGCCUUCGGGUUGUAAACUGCUUUUGUACGGAACGAAACGGUCUGAGUUAAUACCGGGCUAAUGACGGUACCGUAAGAAUAAGCACCGGCUAACUACGUGCCAGCAGCCGCGGUAAUACGUAGGGUGCAAGCGUUAAUCGGAAUUACUGGGCGUAAAGCGUGCGCAGGCGGUUUUGUAAGUCAGAUGUGAAAUCCCCGGGCUUAACCUGGGAACU
rnacentral:rRNA from 1 species